GACUCUGUAGCUCAGUUGGUUAGAGCGCUGCUCCGGAAUCGCAGGGCCGCAGGUUCGACUCCUAGGGCUAGGGACC